rnacentral:tRNA from 2 species
GGGGCAGUAGCUCAGUUGGGAGAGCGCGUCGUUCGCAAUGACGAGGUCAGGGGUUCGAUUCCCCUCUGCUCCACCA